rnacentral:lncRNA from 1 species
GGUUUCUGCAGAAGGGUAGGCUAGAUGUUUACUGUAAUCCUUUCUAGAUUUAAAAAUAUGUGAAUAUAUCCCUCUAAGAAAUAUGAUUCUGUCAAAAGUGCAAUAGGUAGAAAUCAGUUUUUCAUUUAUAUGAAACUAUAAACACCUACCCCAUCUGUCUUCCUGGAUCCUAUGAUAAAAUGUGAGGAUAGCUCCUAUUGAAGUUGCUGCCUAGUGCAGCAUGUAAAUGCACAUUUCUUCAAAAACCUGCAUUUGCUCUGCACAAACUAUAAACCAAUGGAAUACAGAUGAGUUCUUGCCUAAAGAUGUGAUGCUCAAGCUGCUGUGGUAAGGCCCACUUCAAGUACUGUAUUUUUGGAGCAUGGACCCAUCAGUAAAAUCUAUGCAUAAACCAGUUUUUUAUCUAGUGAAAUGUCCAGUUGGAUUUACUUGUAAUCGGAGGUUAAACCUAUUUAAUCUGAGCACAGAGCAUUUGGAUUGCAGUUAAUUUGUUUAGUUGAUCUCAAAUGGCAAUAAUAGAGGUUGGUGUAAAAGACCACACAGACAUGAUAUCUGAAGGAAGGACUUAGGUUUCAGCUCCAUCUGUAACCAAACCAGUCGAAUGGGCCUUCUCCUGCCAAGACAGGAACUCCUGCUUCACUUUUCCCUUCAGAGUUCCUAACUACACUGUUUCAUCUGAUCUUCAGGUUGGGCCCCGCUGCUCGUCAGUGCCUUCUGAGAGGCCUUUCUCAGCCAACUCUCUGUUAAGAUCUUGCCUGAAACCUUAGUGUUAAAAGACAACUAGCUUUUAGGAUCUUUUCACAGUAUGUUUAUACCACAGAACUAGUAGCUAGAAGACAGUCAUGUUGUUUGAAGUUGAUUUUAUAAUAAAAAUCAUAAAGCAUACAAACUCUGCAGGGACCUGCACUUCGUACAGGAGUGGCAAUUCAAUAAGUUAAAUAACUAAAGCACUGACUAUGUUUACACAAUGCUGUGUACACUCGGAAUUCCACCCUUAAGUGUGCUUGUUGCAUUUUUAAGAAGUGUUUAUCUGGAAAAUACUUUUAUCAUUGGGUUCUCUCCUUAGAUUGGAUUUUAUUUUGUUGUUCCAGUAAAAUAAAGUAUAGCACACUUCCACACUUUUCGAAAUGGAUUUUCAAUGUACGUUUUGAAUGUUCAAGUUAAAAUUGGACAUAAUAAACAACCUUUCAGGCAUUAGAGGAGUGAAAAGACAGACGCAGAACAUAUUAUGUUAUACCAGAUGCUGAACCCCAGCUGUCAUCAGCAAAUGUCAGUACAAGCAUAGCUGAUGGCAAGUUAAAUUGCAUCGUGUAGAAAGGUACAAGAAAGAUGUUGAAGAGUUUUAAAUGUUCUAGGGAUUUUGUUCAGAGAGAAAGAGGGCCUACAGUUGCUGUGAAGUCCAUGAAAGGCUUUGCAGUACCUUUUGAUUCCAUGUAAAAGAUACUUAGCCACUAAUGAUGAACAUUCAUACACAUAUCAAAGAAAGGAUGGCAUGUUCCACUUCUUUGAAAGUCCCCUUCCACCAUCAAGCUAAAACACUCUUACUCAUUUUUUCCCUUCCAGAAAAACAAGUGAGAACUAGCACCAUUUUACACAGGAAGGUGGAUGAAGAAGUACUUGUAUAUGUAAAACUGUAAGAAGUCUGUAGUCACAGCUGUGACAUAGUCAUGUCUCAAAAUUUGAGUGCAUAUUUUGGUGUAAAUUUAUUUAUCCCCCAGUGAAUUACUGGUACAAGACCAUUGCUUCAGCCCUCAAUCUAAUUGCUGAAUUCACAUUGCUGUUAAAUGGUAGUUGUACAUGUAUAUAUAACAUAUAUACAAAAAACCUGCAUGUCUCUCUAACAAAUAGCUGAUUCUAAAAGUACCUUAAAUAAAGGUAUAAAGACAUGAAACCAGGCAUAAAAUCUGUUGAUUCUAACCUGAAUGUCAGAGAGUGGAAAAUAAAUGUUACUUUCAAAGUGAAAGAUAAACUCUGCCUAGACUUACUUAAGCUGUAACAGUAACUAAAGUGCCACCAUAAAGUAGAAACUGGGUAUGGCAUUAGCAUUUUCUAGGUUUAGCAUUUUUACUUCACAACUUGUAUGACCUUGUCCUGAUCGUCUAAGCACUGGUUUACAUGGCAUCUGAGCUGAGUUCUGAGAGCUUUAUGAAGUUAGCUUUGUGGUAUAUAAAACCAGAAAAAGUGUUUUCUGCAUGAGGUUGAAGACAGGUUUCUGUUAUGAGUCAUGCUGUCACUUUGUAAUGUUAAUGCCUAAAAAUGCUCUCUAAAAAUUGCAAGAGUACUUAGAAGUCAGCUUUCCUGGAAGACUCCUUUUUAUUACUGAACUGCUGUCACCACUUUGUCCAGAAUGCAUCUAGUCAAAGGAGAUUACGUGAGCCUGUCAACCCCUACAGCCUUCUGCAGAUGGGUACAGGUUAAAGUAACAACGCUACAUCAGAAACCUGAGGCCUUUAAAAAGGGCUGUAUUUUUUAAAAAAGCCAUUUACAUUGGCUUUCAUAAGGAAUAUAAAUGACAUAAAAUGUUUAGGAUAGACAGUUCCCUCUUUUAAGUUGAAGACGGGCAGAGAGAGCUGAGGUUAUUCAGCCUGGAGAAGAGAAGGCUCAGAGAUCUUAGAGCAGCUUCCAGUACCUAAAGGGAGCCUACAAGAAAUCUGGACACAGACUUCUUACAUGUAGUGUAAGGACAUGUAGUGACAGGACAAGGCAGAAUGGCUUUAAGCUGACAGAGCAGAGAUUUACAUUGGACAUUAGGAAGAAA